AGGGGACCUUCGGGCCUUUCGCUAACAGAUGAGCCUGCGUUGGAUUAGCUAGUUGGUGGGGUAAGGGCCCACCAAGGCGACGAUCCAUAGCUGGUCUGAGAGGACGAUCAGCCACACUGGGACUGAGACACGGCCCAGACUCCUACGGGAGGCAGCAGUGGGGAAUAUUGGACAAUGGGCGAAAGCCUGAUCCAGCAAUACCGCGUGUGUGAAGAAGGCCUUAGGGUUGUAAAGCACUUUCAAUUGGGAGGAAAACCUGUCGGUCAAUACCCGGCAGCUUGACAUUACCUUUAGAAGAAGCACCGGCUAACUCCGUGCCAGCAGCCGCGGUAAUACGGAGGGUGCGAGCGUUAAUCGGAAUUACUGGGCGUAAAGCGUGCGUAGGCGGUUCGUUAAGUCAGAUGUGAAAGCCCUGGGCUCAACCUGGGAACUGCAUUUGAAACUGGCGGACUAGAGUUUAGUAGAGGGGAGUGGAAUUUCAGGUGUAGCGGUGAAAUGCGUAGAUAUCUGAAGGAACACCAGUGGCGAAGGCGACUCCCUGGACUAGAACUGACGCUGAGGUACGAAAGCGUGGGUAGCAAACAGGAUUAGAUAUCCUGGUAGUCCACGCCGUAAACGAUGUCGACUAGC
rnacentral:rRNA from 1 species